rnacentral:rRNA from 1 species
AAUGAACGUUGGCGGCGUGGAUUAGGCAUGCAAGUCGAGCGAGAACCGAGGAAGCUUGCUUCCGAGGGGACAGCGGCGAAAGGGAGAGUAACGCGUAGAUACGUACCUUAGGGUUCGGGAUAGCCUCGGGAAACUGUGGGUAAUACCGAAUAAUGUCUCCGGACCAAAGAUUUAUCGCCCUAAGAGCGGUCUGCGUCCUACUAGUUUGUUGGUGGGGUAAAAGCCUACCAAGACGACGAUGGGUACCGGGCGUGAGAGCGUGAUCCGGCUCACUGGGACUGAGACACUGCCCAGACACCUACGGGUGGCUGCAGUCGAGAAUCUUCCGCAAUGGACGCAAGUCUGACGGAGCGACGCCGCGUGCGGGAUGAAGGCCUUCGGGUUGUAAACCGCUGUCAGAGGGGAGGAAAUUUUGACCGAUCCUCAGAGGAAGCGCAGGCUAAGUUCG